UGUUCACCAUGGAUCACGACGAAGACGAGGGCAUCGUCAAGUUCCUCCUGCUCGUGAUGCUCGUGGUGUCGGCGGUGGUCGUCUCGCUUCUAGGGUUCAUGUUGUACGGUUUCCUGCGGAACAUCAACUACAUCGAUUACAGCAGCUAUUCGACUGCACUGCCCAAGUUGGUGCCGCGUUUUGUGGACUGAUUCGCGUGGCCGAAAUGGAACUGCGGUUCUCGCGCUUGGAGACAUCCUGCAUCACCAACGGGCCCUAUCGCUGUGCAACGUUUAAGCGUUGGCUGUAACUUGUCUAUGUACUCGUUAUAUGUGUAUAAGUUGCAUUGUUACGCGUUCAGCAAAGAACGACCUUAAUAGAUAUUGCACUACUGCA